GGUUAGUAACGCGUGGGAAUAUACCCUUCUCUACGGAAUAGCCUCGGGAAACUGAGAGUAAUACCGUAUAAGCCCUUCGGGGGAAAGAUUUAUCGGUGAAGGAUUAGCCCGCGUUAGAUUAGAUAGUUGGUGGGGUAAUGGCCUACCAAGUCUACGAUCUAUAGCUGGUUUGAGAGGAUGAUCAGCAACACUGGGACUGAGACACGGCCCAGACUCCUACGGGAGGCAGCAGUGGGGAAUCUUAGACAAUGGGCGCAAGCCUGAUCUAGCCAUGCCGCGUGAGUGACGAAGGUCUUAGGAUCGUAAAGCUCUUUCGCCAGAGAUGAUAAUGACAGUAUCUGGUAAAGAAACCCCGGCUAACUCCGUGCCAGCAGCCGCGGUAAUACGGAGGGGGUUAGCGUUGUUCGGAAUUACUGGGCGUAAAGCGUACGUAGGCGGAUUGGAAAGUAGGGGGUGAAAUCCCAGGGCUCAACCCUGGAACUGCCUCCUAAACUAUCAGUCUAGAGUUCGAGAGAGGUGAGUGGAAUUCCAAGUGUAGAGGUGAAAUUCGUAGAUAUUUGGAGGAACACCAGUGGCGAAGGCGGCUCACUGGCUCGAUACUGACGCUGAGGUACGAAAGUGUGGGGAGCAAACAGGAUUAGAUACCCUGGUAGUCCACACCGUAAACGAUGAAUGCCAGUCGUCGGGGAGCUUGCUCUUCC
rnacentral:rRNA from 1 species